CGCCGGCCGGCGCGGCGGGGCGGGGCGCGGGGCCUCCGAGGCCCCGGGGUCGGGGGGCGACGACGUCGGAUCCUGGCUGUGGUGGGCGC
rnacentral:tRNA from 1 species